GACGAACGCUGGCGGCGUGCUUAACACAUGCAAGUCGAACGGAAAGGCCCUGCUUUUGUGGGGUGCUCGAGUGGCGAACGGGUGAGUAACACGUGAGUAACCUGCCCUUGACUUUGGGAUAACUUCAGGAAACUGGGGCUCAUACCGGAUAGGAGCUCCUGCUGCUUGGUGGGGGUUGGAAAGUUUCGGCGGUUGGGGAUGGACUCGCGGCUUAUCAGCUUGUUGGUGGGGUAGUGGCUUACCAAGGCUUUGACGGGUAGCCGGCCUGAGAGGGUGACCGGCCACAUUGGGACUGAGAUACGGCCCAGACUACUAAGGGAGGCAGCAGUGGGGAAUAUUGCACGAUGGGCCGAAGCCGGAUGCAGCAACGCCGCGUGCGGGAUGAUGGCCUUCGGGUUGUAAACCGUUUUCGCCUGUGACGAAGCGUGAGUGACGGUAAUGGGUAAAGAAGCACCGGCUAACUACGUG
rnacentral:rRNA from 1 species